GACUAGAUGCUAGUGUCUGCCUUUACGGUUUGUACAUUAGUUAUCUAAUCCUUCUUUCUAGUAAGUCUAGCUGUUCUUUAUUGGGCGGUUAGAGGGACUAGAACUUUUACUUUGAAGAAAUUAGAGUGUUUAAGGCAGGCUUAUGCUUGAAUAUAUUAGCAUGGAAUAAUAGAAUAGGACUUUGGUUCUAUUUUGUUGGUUGAAGAACCAAAGUA
rnacentral:rRNA from 1 species